rnacentral:lncRNA from 1 species
GUAGGUGACUGCGGUAUUACCAGGGGCGCACAAAGUGGGUGUUGCCCUUUGUUUCCCAAGUAAUUGUUUUAAAGCAAGGAUUUGAUGAUGAGACAUCGUCUGCUACAGGAUUUGCAGGGAAACAUGGAGUAUCACUUUGGGCCUAUUUUCUAAGAGAAUGGCCUGAAGAGAAUAGAUUCAAGUUUUCUCCCAGAAAAGCCUCUGCUUCAGGAGCAGGGCAUAGCUGGCACCAAGGAAAGGAAGACUCCUAAUAGAAAACACCUGAAGCUGGUGAGCAGCCGCUUCCUGGAACACUCUACUGGUAAGGGGAGAAAUGCCUCAAAUGAGCAUGUGCACAACUUCAGUAAACAUGCUGUGCAUGUGGCCCCUCCCAAGUGCCCGCAGGCCACCACACAAGUGGACAGCCCUGGACAGCCCGCCCCUAGGGAAGAAUCAAGGGAGGAGAAACAGAAGCCCUGGAACUGUGCUAGCAUAUAAAACCCCAAGUCAAGGGCUGAAUGGCACACUUGGAUCUCUCAAGUCACCUGCUUGGCCCCCUUCCAAGUGUAUUUACUUCCAUUUGUUCCUGCUCUAAAACUUUUUAAUAAACUUUCACUCCUGCUCUAAAACUUGCCUCGGUCUCUCCCUCUGCCUUAAAACUACUUCUGCCCCCGCAGCCGAAUUCUU